GGGGGGAUUGGCUUAUUGCACCACAUGUGUUUUUUAUUGAACAAAUUUCUUUGGUGGCGGGAGCAAUCCUACCGCCAGAGGUUAUAACUAAACCAAACUUUUUAUUUACAGUCAAACUUGAUUUAUUAUUACAAUAGUCAAAACUUUCAACAACGGAUCUCUUGGUUCUCGCAUCGAUGAAGAACGCAGCGAAAUGCGAUACGUAAUAUGAAUUGCAGAUAUUCGUGAAUCAUCGAAUCUUUGAACGCACAUUGCGCCCUUUGGUAUUCCAAAGGGCAUGCCUGUUUGAGCGUCAUUUCUCCCUCAAACCCCCGGGUUUGGUGUUGAGCAAUACGCUAGGUUUGUUUGAAAGAAUUUACCUGGAAACUUAUUUUAAGCCACUUAAGGUUAACCCAAACGCUUAAUUUGGUAAUGGCCCCCCCAAUUUAAUUCCUAACUUUGAACUCCAAUCCAGGAAGAAUACCCGCUGAACUUAAACCUAUCCAUAAGCCCGAAGAAA
rnacentral:rRNA from 1 species